rnacentral:rRNA from 1 species
GACGAACGCUGGCGGCGUGCCUAAUACAUGCAAGUCGAACGCAGUGGGGACGGGUGAGUAACACGUGGGUAACCUCCCAUCAGAGGGGAUAACACUUGGAAACAGGUGCUAAACCGAUACUGAUGGAUGGACCCGCGGUGCAUUAGCUAGUUGGUGAGGUAACGGCUCACCAAGGCCACGAGGCAUAGCCGGGCUGGGAGGGGGAACGGCCACAAUGGGACUGGGAAAAGGCCCAGACUCCUACGGGAGGCAGCAGUAGGGAAUCUUCGGAAAUGGACGAAAGGCUGACCGAGCAACGCCGGGUGGGUGAAGAAGGUUUUCGGGUUGUAAAGCUCUGUUAAUCGGGACGCGGUACCGGAAUAGAAAGCCACGGCUAACUACGUGCCAGCAGCCGCGGUAAUUC